rnacentral:rRNA from 1 species
CGGGUAGCCUGCCCAAGAGACUGGGAUAACAACCUGGAAACAGAUGCUAAUACCGGAUAACAACACUAGACGCAUGUCUAGAGUUUAAAAGAUGGUUCUGCUAUCACUAUUGGAUGGACCUGCGGUGCAUUAGCUAGUUGGUAAGGUAACGGCUUACCAAGGCAAUGAUGCAUAGCCGAGUUGAGAGACUGAUCGGCCACAUUGGGACUGAGACACGGUCCAAACUCCUACGGGAGGCAGCAGGC